AUACGGAGGGUGCAAGCGUUAUUCGGAAUCACUGGGCGUAAAGGACGCGUAGGCGGGUUGGCAAGUCAGAUGUGAAAUCCUACAGCUUAACUGUAGAACUGCAUUUGAAACUGCUAACCUAGAGUAUGGGAGGGGGAGAUGGAAUUAGUGGUGUAGGGGUAAAAUCCGUAGAUAUCACUAGGAUUACCGAAAGCGAAGGCGAUCUCCUGGAACAUAACUGACGCUAAGGCGUGAAAGCGUGGGGAGCAAACAGGAUUAGAUACCCUAGUAGUCC
rnacentral:rRNA from 1 species